rnacentral:rRNA from 1 species
GACGGAGGAUGCAAGUGUUAUCCGGAAUCACUGGGCGUAAAGCGUCUGUAGGUGGUUCGAAAAGUCCACUGUUAAAAAUUGAGGCUUAACUUCAAAGAUGCCGUGGAAACUUUCAAACUAGAGUAUGGUAGGGGUAGAGGGAAUUUCCAGUGGAGCGGUGAAAUGCGUAGAUAUUGGAAAGACCACCGAUGGCGAAGGCACUCUACUGGGCCAUGACUGACACUGAGAGACGAAAGCUAGGGGAGCAAAUGGG